rnacentral:rRNA from 1 species
GGGACGGGGCCCCUCCGCCUCCGACGCGGCUGUCGACCGGGUCGGACUGUCCUCAGUCCGUGCCCCGACCGCGCCGCGGCCCAGGGCGGGGACCGGCUCACGUACACAAGGGCGCUCGGGGUCGGGGCCGAUGCCGGCUACC